ensembl:lncRNA
AGAGCAGGGACGGCUGUUGCCUUUGGAGGGUGGGGGAUUAUCGGGGUCCAACCCCAGGGCCCCUGUUACCGAGGGGCCAGAGACACUGAGCUGGGAUCCAGGCUGGGCUCUGGUUCUGUUACCGACAAGAGGGGUUGGGAUCGAGGGUUCUGCUUUGGGCCUGACUCUCAAACAUCCAUAUCAGGUCUGGCCCUGUCCCUCUGUCUGUCCGUAGUGUGUUCCCUGCUGCAGGCUCUGCUGGGGAAGUGAGGGGCUGAGCUCAGUUAAUGGGUCUGAGGAUGAGCGUAGGCGCUGCCGGGCUGUUAGCAGAGCCCUGUACAGAGACUCCCAGUGCUGAUUCCCCGGGAGCAUGAGAUCCCUCCAGGCCGCCUGCAUGGGCCUCACCAGCCCAGAGGGGAUCUGGGGGGUCAGGGCUCUGCACAGUGCCUGGCACAGCCCUAUGGAGCAGGCCGGGGUGUCCCUGGUGGGAUGGGUGGGGCUGGAACCAGGUCCCAUGCUCCUCUGUGUGGAAGAGAGAGGGGGGCCCUGGUUCCCAGGUUCCUGCAUGUGAAUCCCGUUCAGUGCAUGGGGCUGGGGAGGGCAAUGGGGCAUGUUACAGACCCAGAGCCCGCCCCUCUCUGCAGGGGGCACUGUCAUCUCGGGAGUGGGGGCCAUGGGGAGAGCAGAGACCCCAUCAGCUUCUCAGGGGCGAUUCUAGCCCAGCACUGAACACACGGCACCUUUCUGUUCCCAGGGCUGAGUCCCAGCAGCCAGGAGAUCUGCUCAGCUCCCGGUGCUCUCCCUGCCCCCACCCUCUACCUGAGCCAGAUGUCUGCCCGGCCGGUGGACUCUGUGAGGCUCCAGUGCUCCAUGAUCUCCCAUCUCCUGGCCUCCCGCAUUGUCUUCUGUCAGGAUGGGGAGGAGGUUUGGUCCCAGAGGGGCUUAUCUGGGAAACUCACCUACGACUAUGACCACGCAGUAUCUGGGGCAAGCUCCAGGAAUUACUCCUGUGCAUACGAGAUCAAGGACAGUGACAACCAGGUGAUCAGGUCCCAGCUCAGCCCUCCCCAGCACCUCAUCGGCACCAGUAAGGCCAAUGUGAGUGUGAGACCAUAUCCCAGCUCAGCCCUGCCCAGCAACUCAGCACCGUGGGAAGGACUGGAAAAUGUUACAAUAUUGGCAAUUACAAUUCCUGUUUCGGUGGGUGUGAUUUUGGCUCUUGUUCUGCCCCUGGUGUAUUACCUUAAGAAGAAGAAGAAAGUUGUAAAUAAUAGGAGAAAAGAAAGGUUGCAAAACCUCUAUGGGAAGAACAAUAAUCCCACUGAAGAUCAGUACACGGCUAACAAUGGGGUUGCAUAUUCCCAUGGCAUGGGUAAAGAAGCCCCGGAGCCGAUCUAUGAAAAUUUUGAUCUAGCGGAUGUGCCUCCUUCUACACAUCACUCCGAACAGACGUAUGAAUCUGUCUUUCCGCUAUAUGCGAACGACGUGUACAGGCCAUGAGAGGUGCAGGAUGUUGGAAGAUAAGCGUCUCAGUUUAGCUUUUUCAAGGAUUGAUUUCAAUGUGUCAAAGCCAGCAGAAGAGGGAAGAAGAGGACACUCCGGCACUGAAGGAACAUUUCAGAAAUUUGAAAAUAUGAAGAAUUUUUGGUUUUUGAAGAGAGAAAUAAAGAGCAACAUGACUUUAACCUACA